GCUUGUCUCAAAGAUUAAGCCAUGCAUGUCUCAGUAUAAGUUCCUGUACGGCGAAACUGCGAAUGGCUCAUUAAAACAGUUACAGUUUAUUUGAUUGUCAUUUCUUACAUGGAUAACUGUGGUAAUUCUAGAGCUAAUACAUGCGCCCAAACCCGACUCCGUGGAAGGGUUGUGUUUAUUAGUUACAGAACCAACCCAGGCUCUGCCUGGUCUUGUGGUGAUUCAUAAUAACCGAAUGAAUCGCAUUGCAUCAGCUGGCGAUGAAUCAUUCAAGUUUCUGACCUAUCAGCUUUCGACGGUAGGGUAUGGGCCUACCGUGGCAAUGACGGGUAACGGAGAAUUAGGGUUCGAUUCCGGAGAGGGAGCCUGAGAAACGGCUACCACAUCUAAGGAAGGCAGCAGG
rnacentral:rRNA from 1 species